rnacentral:rRNA from 1 species
UACGUAGGGUGCAAGCGUUGUCCGGAAUCAUUGGGCGUAAAGCGCGCGUAGGCGGCCCGGUAAGUCCGCUGUAAAAGCCCAGGGCUCAACCCUGGAAAGCCGGUGGAUACUGUCGGGCUAGAGUCCGGAAGAGGCGAGUGGAAUUCCUGGUGUAGCGGUGGAAUGCGCAGAUAUCAGGAGGAACACCGAUGGCGAAGGCAGCUCGCUGGGACGGUACUGACGCUGAGGCGCGAAAGCGUGGGGAGCGAACAGG